rnacentral:tRNA from 1 species
GACAAUACAGCUCGGUGGUAGAGUGCAUGCUUAACAUGCAAGAGGUCCUGGGUUCAAUCCUCAGUACUGCUA